CCCUCUCUCUCUCUCUUGCUCUCUCCCUCGCUCCCUCUCUCUCUCUCCCUCCCUCUCCCCUUCUCACUCUCUCAAUGUAAAUUUAAAAUGUAAAAUUUUAAAAUUUAAGUUUAAAAACUUUAAAUAUCAAAUCUAAAUUUAAAAUUAAAUAUUUAAAAUUUAAAUUUUUUAUUAUUUAAAAAUUAAAUUUAAAUUUUAAAUAUAAACUGUUGAAGUUCAAAAUUUAAAUCUUAAAUUUG
rnacentral:lncRNA from 1 species